rnacentral:lncRNA from 1 species
UGGGAAUAAGACAAUGUGAGGGGUGGUCUCCUCCCUUAAUGCCAGCUUCUCUGUGGAAAGUAGGUUGGAGGUGAGUGGAAGGUGAAAGCUGCGAAGAGUCCCAACUGGAGAUGCAGGUGGCAGCGGAGAUGGCGAGAAUAGGAGAGUCCGACCGGAGAUGCAGGUGGCAGCGGAGAUGGCGAGAAUAGGAGAGUCCCGACCGGAGAUGCAGGUGGCAGCGGAGAUGGCAAGAGUAAGAGAGUCCCGACCGGAGACGCAGGUGGCAGUGGAGAUGGCGAGAGUAAGAGAGUCCCGACCGGAGAUGCAGGUGGCAGUGGAGAUGGCGCGAGUAAGGGAGUCUGACUGGAGAUGCAGGUGGCAGCGGAGAUGGCCGGAAUAGAGCACUCGUUUGGAGGAAAAGCGGACAGGUCGACAGGAUGGAUGUGAUGGGGGCCCCGAAGGAGAGGAUGCUGUAGAGACUGACAUGGCAC